rnacentral:lncRNA from 1 species
CUGACUGAGUGGGGAGGUGAUAGGACUGACUGAGUGGGGAGAUGAUAGGACUGAGUGGGGAGGUGAUAGGACUGACUGAGUGGGGAGAUGAUAGGACUGACUGAGUGGGGAGAUGAUAGGACUGACUGAGAGGGAGGUGAUAGGACUGACUGAGUGGGGAGGUGAUAGGACUGACUGAGAGGGAGGUGAUAGGACUGACUGAGUGGGGAGGUGAUAGGACUGACUGAGUGGGGAGGUGAUAGGACUGACUGAGUGGGGAGAUGAUUGGACUGACUGAGUGGGGAGAUGAUUGGACUGACUGAGUGGGGAGGUGAUAGGACUGACUGAGUGGGGAGGUGAUAGGACUGACUGAGUGGGGAGGUGAUGGUACUGACUGAGUGGGGAGAUGAUAGGACUGAGUGGGGAGGUGAUAGGACUGACUGAGUGGGGAGAUGAUGAGACUGACUGAGUGUGGAGGUGAUGGGACUGACUGAGUGGGGAGGUGAUAGGACUGACUGAGUGGGGAGGUGAUAGGACUGCUGAGUGGGGAGAUGAUAGGACUGAGUGGGGAGGUGAUAGGACUGACUGAGUGGGGAGAUGAUAGGACUGACUGAGUGGGGAGAUGAUAGGACUGACUGAGAGGGAGGUGAUAGGACUGACUGAGUGGGGAGGUGAUAGGACUGACUGAGUAGGGAGAUGAUUGGACUGACUGAGUGGGAAGAUGAUAGGACUGACUGAGUGGGGAGAUGAUAGGACUGACUGAG